CACGUCAGCAUAGCUAGCCUUUAAAGAAUCGAGGAUGCGCCCGUGUAGCCCAUACGACAUCCCAAAGUGUCUCAUGGUCAACGGAGUCGAACGCCUUACUAAAGUCAAUUUGCAUGAUAAUAAGCGGCCUGGCUCCGGCCACAGUGUGCUUCGAGAUAAGAUGCCUUAAUGUAACAAGUGAUGCUCGGUGCCAAAACCAUGCCUACAUCCAGCCUGGCUAACGGCACGUAGCCUAUUGCCCUCACAGUAAUUAUUUAAUCGCCUCCCUAUGAUAUUGGCAUAAAGUUUGCACAGG
rnacentral:lncRNA from 1 species